rnacentral:rRNA from 1 species
GACGAACGCUGGCGGCGUGCUUAACACAUGCAAGUCGAACGGAAAGGCCCUGCUUUUGUGGGGUGCUCGAGUGGCGAACGGGUGAGUAACAAGUGAGUAACCUGCCCUUGACUUUGGGAUAACUUCAGGAAACUGGGGCUAAUACCGGAUAGGAGCUCCUGCUGCAUGGUGUGUGUUGGAAAGUUUCGGCGGUUGGGGAUGGACUCGCGGCUUAUCAGCUUGUUGGUGGGGUAGUGGCUUACCAAGGCUUUGACGGGUAGCCGGCCUGAGAGGGUGACCGGCCACAUUGGGACUGAGAUACGGCCCAGACUCCUACGGGAGGCAGCAGUGGGGAAUAUUGCACAAUGGGCGGAAGCCUGAUGCAGCAACGCCGCGUGCGGGAUGACGGCAGGCGGGUUGUAAACCGCUUUCGCCUGUGACGAAGCGUGAGUGGCGGUAAUGGGUAAAGAAGCACCGGCUAACUACGUG